rnacentral:rRNA from 1 species
UGCGUCCUACGGGAGGCAGCAGUGAGGAAUAUUGGUCAAUGGUCGGGAGACUGAACCAGCCAAGCCGCGUGAGGGAUGAAGGUACAGAGUAUCGUAAACCUCUUUUGUCAGGGAACAAAGGCGGGGACGUGUCCCCGGAUGAGUGUACCUGAAGAAAAAGCAUCGGCUAACUCCGUGCCAGCAGCCGCGGUAAUACGGAGGAUGCGAGCGUUAUCCGGAUUUAUUGGGUUUAAAGGGUGCGUAGGCGGGACCUUAAGUCAGCGGUAAAAUUGCGGUG